AACGAACGCUGGCGGCAGGCCUAACACAUGCAAGUCGAGCGAGGACUUCGGUCCUAGCGGCGGACGGGUGGGUAACGCGUGGGAGCGUGCGCUUUGCUUCGGAAUAGCCCUGGGAAACUGGGAGUAAUACCGGAUGAGCGCUUCGGGGGAAAGAUUUAUCGGCGCAGGAGCGGGCCGCGUUGGAUUAGGUAGUUGGUGGGGUAAUGGACUACCAAGCCGACGAUCCAUAGCUGGGUGGAGAGGAGGAUCAGCCACGCUGGGACUGGGACACGGCCCAGACUCCUACGGGACGCUGCAGUGGGGAAUCUUAGACCAUCGCGGAAUCCCUGAUCUAGCCAUUCCGCUUGUGCGAUGCAUUCCUUAGGGUUGUAAAGCUCUUUCAGCUGUGAAGAUGUUGACGGUACCAGCAGAAGAAGCGCCGGCUAACUCCGUG
rnacentral:rRNA from 1 species